rnacentral:rRNA from 1 species
UACGUAGGGUGCGAGCGUUAAUCGGAAUUACUGGGCGUAAAGUGUGCGCAGGCGGCUUCGCAAGUCGAGUGUGAAAUCCCCGAGCUUAACUUGGGAAUUGCGCUCGAAACUACGGAGCUGGAGUGUGGCAGAGGAAGGUGGAAUUCCACGUGUAGCGGUGAAAUGCGUAGAGAUGUGGAGGAACACCGAUGGCGAAGGCAGCCUCCUGGGCCAACACUGACGCUCAUGCACGAAAGCGUGGGGAGCAAACAGG